rnacentral:rRNA from 1 species
CCUACGGGAGGCAGCAGUGGGGAAUAUUGCACAAUGGGGGAAACCCUGAUGCAGCGACGCCGCGUGAGCGAUGAAGUAUUUCGGUAUGUAAAGCUCCAUUAGCAGGGAAGAAAAUGACGGUACCUGACUAAGAAGCCCCGGCUAACUACGUGCCAGCAGCCGCGGUAAUACGUAGGGGGCAAGCGUUAUCCGGAUUUACUGGGUGUAAAGGGAGCGUAGACGGCUUGGCAAGCCAGAUGUGAAAGGCUGGGGCUCAACCUCAGGACUGCAUUUGAAACUGUCAUGCUAGAGUGUCGGAGAGGCAGGUGGAAUGCCUGGUGUAGCGGUGAAAUGCAUAGAUAUUAGACAGAACACCGGUGGCGAAGGCAGCCUACUAGACGAUGACUGACGUUGAGGCUCGAAAGCGUGGGGAGCAAACAGGAUUAGAUACCCCUGUAGUC